rnacentral:lncRNA from 1 species
UCUCUUUAGGGUUCCCAAAUUCCAUUCUUCUCUGUCUUCUUCUUCAAUCAUGAGUCUUCCUCCGACCGUCAAUGCAGAACCGGUGGAGACAAUUGUCAGCGACAACAUCCCAGCUGCUAGUUUAAUGCCCUGGAGGCGAGGCCGGCUUGUCUUCCGGCAUAGACUGCGAGCCCGUAUAGAUCAAAGCCUUAGGGAGACGUUACCGUAUAGGAGUCUUACUCUUGGUCAGAUACGGGGACAACUCAACCGGAUGAGGAGGGCCGCCGCCGCCAGUGAGUACGAAAUAAGGAACAGAGGAGCUUCGGACUUGGAGAGACUGGACAAGUACGAGGAAGACGGAAGCAGGUGCGCGAUUUGCUGGGAGGAGAUUGGAGUGUAAAGCAUGUAUUCGAUGAGGAUUGCUUGCUGGCUUCAGGUCUCCCGCACCAGCCCAUUGUGCCGCUUCGAUGUCAAGCUUUGUACAUAGAAGAACCAAAUAAUCUUUGUAACUAUUUUCCAGACUAAAUAAUUAAUUAUUUUAGUCCCACUUUUUUGCUAUAUAUCUAAAUAAGUUUGUCAUAAUGCUAUAUAUCUCUUAU